UGUUCAGGGGUUUGUUUGUUUUUUUCUUCUUUUUCUUUUUCUGUAAGUCUGCUGUUCUCUGUUACAACCUUACCUAAUGGAGACCACUAGGGAAAUAGGGAAUGGAAAAGGGUGAGACUGCAGAGAAUGAGCAAUGGCCUUGUUUUUGAAAUAAGCACAGUGCAGUAGUGCAGGGGAAGCAGAGAUGAGCACAGCAGAAAGUCAGCAGUGAGCAGAAAGAUAAAUGACAAGUGCAGAGCUCACAAGCCAAAAUACGGCCCUCUGGAGCUGUACAGAGUGAGUAAUGGGCCCUUGCACUGGCACAAUGUGUGGUCUGAGCCCUCCAACCUCUCUGGGCUGCCCAGCUGAGCUGAGGCAGGAGCAGGAGAGCUCUGUUGUGUCCUGCAGAGCCCAGGCACUGCCCUCAGCCUGAUAUUCUGACACACUGUGCUCUCCGUGGGGUAGACUUUGCCCUCCAGGCUUUAUGGGAUGUCCUGCUGCCACGCCAGACCCAGCAGCCUGCAAUCACCCUCUGCAAUUUUAUCUCUCUCUAUAUUUUUAUGGCAUCACCCUCCAUCCCACUCCACCUGUGAGUCCUCAUUGCUCUUGGCUUGCAGCUCUGGAGCACACAGCUGCCCCAUCAGUACCUCUGUCUGUAAUGAAAAGAGUUUACAGCCUCCAAAAGCCCCAAACCCAUAUGGUUCAACAUCUGAUUUGCUUCAAGUCACUUAAGUCACAAGUUAAAAGCCCUGCCUUGUGCACAUGCCUGGGAGUCAGGGUGUGGAUUUCUCCAGGGAAAGGUCUCCUGUCUGCCUUUAAAAGGGAGCAGCUUUGCUUUGAUGUAUCCAUAGGUGAGGAUCUGGCCUUGUCUCACCAUGUGCUCCCUCCACAGAGCCCUGGGCUGCUGGGCAUUAUUACAGCUCAUACAGAAAACCAGAAGCAGAACAGCACCCUGCUAACCCUGCCCAGGCUGGAUUUGCAGACACCUGAAGCCCAGUACAGAUGCAGGUUUGGGUAUUGCCACAUGCAAAGUGUAGAUAUUGUCACAUAUUCUUCACUUUUAAGGGAAGUGAAGGUUCUCACAGGUCCAGGUGAGGUGUGAGCACUGACAGACAUUAAUGACCAGAGCAGCUGGUCCCUCUCAGCUGGGGCACCCUCACCCUGUGCCCAGGAGCCUCCACCUCUCCCUGGGCUGUGCCAGGGGGUGCUGGGCUCCAGCUCAGCCCAGGCUGUCCAUCCGCUGCCUCAGCCCCAGCUCUGUGGACUUUCUGCCAUGAUGGACCUGCCUGGGAGCUGCAGGAUGCUGUCUGACCUGGAUCACCUUCCCUGCAUCUCACCUUGGCCUGUGGGUGUCUUUGGGCUGCCCCAUCUCCUGAUGAUGUGGGCUCCUGGCUAUGACCUGUGGGGCUGCUCUGCCCCCCUUGCUCACGUACUGGGGGCUUUGCUGGGUGUGUUACCAGGCUGGGCUCCUGCCUUCCAUCCCUACAAGCAUUUUUAAACUUUAAAAUCUCUUUGUUUGAAGUUAAGUUUAGUAAAAUUCUCGUGGCAGAGGCUGAAUAACUCAAUAAAAUAUGAGCCUUCCCCAGGACUACAGGGCUUGUGCUGGGGAGAUGAUGUUGUCCACCUUCUAGCUGGUAAAUGAAAGUUUUAUUUUGGGGUAUAGGUGGAUUAGGCUUGCUACUGCAGUGUGGGGUAUGACAGGCCCUUUUUGGGGUGCAGGAGGGCAAUGGGAAGUUCAGAGGGAUGUGGAGUGUUCAGAUGCACCCACAGACUCCAGCUGACACAGGGCCACCACAUGCUCCCAGAGCCCUGUGCUCCUGAAGUAUUAUGAACUUAAAAAAAGAGAAAAAUUAUAUUUAUAGGCGAUAUGAAUGGUUGAAAACAUAGGUACUGUGUGUCUAGGUUGUCAGUGUGGAAGAUGUUGCCUGACCCCCCUGGCAUCCCAGCCAAGACUGAAACCCAGGGAUGUUGGUGUCACCAGGAAGGGAGGCAGGCAGUGACACCUGUGACGCACUCUUCAAAUGUCUGACAUUUUCCUAAAGAAGCCUACAUGUUAUCAAAACAAUGCAUUUUAUUCUUCUGGAUAAUGAAACUGAUCAACACAAAUAACUGAGGGUUUAUCCCAAACUGGGGCUGAAUCUCAAUUCUGACAGUUACUGCUGCCCACAGCUUGUACUUUUUUUUGUACUUUGAGCCAUUUCUGCUGCCUUUGCUCCCUCCCAAGCAGAGGCUUUCCCUGUGAGCCCUGCAGACCUGCACAGCUGAGCACUGCUCCCAUCUUUCUGCACCUGGUGCACAUCCACUAUUUUGCCUGGAUUAAUCACUGGCUGCAAGUUACAGUCUUCUGCAUCCCAACAUUGGCACUGAGCUCUGUCAGAGGGGGAAAAAACUCUUUUCUGAUUAUUAAAUUGUCAGUCCAAAGUUGAAGAGUGUGUUGCAGCUGAAAUGCUGAUAAAAGCCCUAAAUGUGGAGCUUGCUAAUACAAAGCUCUAGCAGCAAUUUAGCUGGUUAUCAGGCAGUAAAUAAGACUUACCUGCUAUUCUUUGAUCAACCUUUUUUCUGUUAUGAACUGCAUGUGUUGACAAAUUAUGUCACCAAAAAGAAAUUCAAGUCUUUGAUGAAAUAACAGGAAACAUGCAUGUGCUGGAAGGCUAAAAAUUUAAAUAAGGCUGCUUUAGGAUUUUGGGUAGCAGUGGUGGAUUUGCUUAAGGUGCAUGAGGAAGGGCUGGGCUGGACAUUGGGGGGCAGGAGAAGCUGGAGUGGCCUCAAAGUCACCCUGAGCCUCACACAGGCUUUGAGCAGUGUUUCCAGGACAGUGGAACUGCAGCUACCAGAUGAGACUGAUUCUCUUUGAAUUUGUAACAAUAAACUGGCAGUUUCUGUGAAUGGAUGCCUCUUUGGAGGAUGGGUGCCUCAAAGAGAGCUGCACUGUCAGUACCCCACUGGGAUAAGCAGCUCUUUAAGGGUGAGAUUUGGAUCCAGGGCUCUGACACAUGAAACAUUAUUAUUAUUAGAAUGCUAACAGUGGUGCUUGAAGGGUCCAGUGGAGCUUAGACAUGAGUCUUGGUCAAAUUCCAGCUUUCUGAGCCAUUUCCCAGAAUAUCAGACAGAACUGAAACCAAUAGGUUUCCACGGCUGCCUCUUGAAAAACACAGCCAGAGAGCCAAGUGAAAGGAGAUACCACAACAAGGGAGAAGUGUGAAGCUGGAAAGCACAGAUUUGGCCCUGAAUUCCCCCAGAGUCUGGAGGCUUUUAGAUCCAAAUUCCUCAUUUGCUCCAUCUCAGAGUGUGAGGCUGCCCCUUGCAAACUCCCUGCCUUGAACUCUUCCCAAGAGCAGGAGAGAGGCUGGGACUCUUCCUGAGGUCAGUUUUUUCUGCUGUAACUGAGCUCUGCAGUCAAAAUCCCCAAAAGCUGGUUCUUCCCUGACUGCAGGCAUGUGACUGAGAUCAGCUUCUGUCAAGUGUGAGAGGUCUCAGACUGUGCCAUGCUGGGGUCCAGCUGGCUCAGCCCCUCCCUGUCUCAGAGGCUGCAGAGAGCAUCCAGGGGUUGUUGUGGUGGUGGGGUGUGCACAAAAACCUGUUCCCUGGAGUAUUUUCUCCUCCCAGAUAUGUUAGUCUAGUCCUUAGGGGCACUGGCUCAAAACUUGAUCUCUGGAUAUACAGUUAUAUUUACCCACACAGGACGUGGGGCUCUCCUUGGUGGUUGCUGAUUUAUGAGCAUACAGGAUUUCUUCCAGCAGAUCCAACAAUGUAUUUUAUAAAUUUUGAGUUCACCUCUUCACCUUAAUGAACAUUAAUUGACUGCUAGAUCAGAUAUUGGGAAGAAAUUCUUCCCUGUGAGGGUUGUAAGGUGCUGGAAGAGGUUUCCCAGGGAAGCUGUGGCUGCCCCAUCCCUGGAAGUGUUCAAGGCCAGGUUGGCCUUGAACCUGGUCUAGAAGAAAGUGUGGCAGAGGGAUUGGGAUAAGAUGGGCUCUAAGGUCCUUUCUAGCCUAACCCAUUCUAUCAUGAUUAAUUAAACAAUAUUACAGUUAAAUUAUCCUUUAUGGAGUAAUAUAUUCAAAUUAAUAAAAAUUAAGCCCAGAGGAAUUAAACAGGAAUCUUUCACAUAUUUUUCCAGUGGCUCCAGCACUCAUUGAUCUGAGUCCUCAUCCCCUUUUACUGAACAUUUCCCAUGUGAAUGGGAGCUACUCUGCCAGAGCAGCACUUCAAAUUGACCUUGUCCAGCACAUUUUAACCAUGGCUGCUCUAGGAGUAAAUUCAUUUCUCCUUCCCCACUGACUGGCACAUGCAGGAUGGUCAGGUAGACCCUGCAAUUAACAGGGAGAGACUCACAAUUCAUCUUCAUCCCUCUCACAUGUAGUGCUCAAUAAAUGCAUUUGAUUGCAGCUUUGAUGGAGCUGCUGGAGCUCCAGAGGGCUCAUGAAAUCAGUGUGUUCAGUCAAUUUUUAACCUGCAGAAGCAACCAGUGAAAGGUGUAGAUCCAUUUGUUGGGAAAACAGCUGAAUUGGAGAAAUGAAACAUCUCACCAGGAACAAAUAUUGUUUGACAAGGUCGGGGGUAGCAAAACACUUUUCACGGUGCUUUUCUGCCUGAGGCACCUCCCUUUUGCUGCCAGUGUAAUAUCCAGGAGGGGUGAUGGGAACAGUGCUGAGAUGGGGACAGCUUUCCCCUUUCCUUUGCCUCUCAUCACAGCCACCAGCACAGCAUGGGGAAAAAUUCUCAAUGGGAAGCUCCUUUGCCACCUUUUUGCUAAAUUAACCUGCACAGGGGUGAUAGCCAUGGAGGAAAAAGGGGAUUAGCCUUUCCAAAUCCCUCUGAUCCUCAUUUCUGCACAAUUCCUCUGGAGACAUUUUUCCCUUGCAGUAAGUGCAGAGGCAUCCAUGGGCUCCUCCCAAAGGUCUGGGAAGGGUUACUGAGGAAAGCCAACCUACUGCAGCCCCUUGGGGGAAACACUGGGGGUUUCUGCGGUGGGGAGGCUGCUGACCACCCCUUGGGAGGGGAGGCACAACCAGGUGGAGGUGUGCCCCUGCCCGAGCCUGCUCGCUCCUGGGCUGUGCUGCACAGACUUGCCAGCUGUGGCUGCCCACAGAAACAGGCUCCAUAACCUAGAGGGAGCUUUGUGAUUCCAGACAAGCCUUGCUGCACCACCUGUGCUGGGGCAGGUCUUUCUCCUCCCCUCUCCUUAGAAUUCACCCAUUUGUUUUGUCUGCAUCUGCUGGAUCUGGCAGGAGAGUCUCUGUAAGCCCAAGGAGUAGGAGGUCACAGCUGUGCAGGAAUCAAGGACCUUUUUAAUUUAGGAAAGGGCCAGAACUGCCGUGGGAAGCCUGGGAUGGAUGUCUUCUAAAGCUUUUUUGUACUAUUUGGGUGAUGUGAAGAGGACUUGACAUAACCUGACUUCAUGAGAAAGCCAAGAGACCAGCCCAGCUGUGGUAAAAUGUCUGUGGUCUCCAGAUCUGCCCUAAUUUGAACUUGAAAGUGAGCUCCAAAGCCCUGCUGCUCACUUUUGAAACUACUGCCUUCUCCUUGUGCAAGUGAAGUUCAAGCAGCUUGAAGGCUCUUAGAUCCCCAUCCCUGCAAAGAAUAAGCUCUGCCUUCCCACCACCCCUCUCUGCAGGGGAACAUCAGUGCCCAUGGAUGAAGCUCUGGGAGGAUUUUUUUUGAGCUUCCUGUAGUUAUCUCAAACCUUCAUCUCUCAAAUGCAAAGGCUUUUAUAGCCUUUGUAUUCUAUUAGUGUAACACUGAAUGCCCUCGUUCUUCAGGUAUUUAUAGCAACUUCUGCAGCUCCCAUAAUAACUCUUGGUGGCUCAGCACCUCACAACAUGAUGUCUUGUUAUCCCCAUUUCACAGAUGUGGAAAUAGGGCACAGGGAAAUUAAGUGAUUUCUGCAGGAUCUCCUGUAACCCACUGCAGUGCCUUGGCUGUGCCACCACCUUCAGCUGAGCCUCAGCUCAGAUGGUGAUGAGGAAGGUGAAGUGAUGCAGUCCCAGACUCUGUCCCCACCAAAAGAUGCGGCUCCCGAGGCUCCAGUGUGACCAGUGGACCCACAGCUCUGCAGGAGCACUGUCUGCUGACACCCACAGCCCCAGAGGAGCCCUGUGCCCGUCCCUGUGCGUGGCACACACACGUGGGCAUCUCCAGCAGCCUGAAUUCCAGCUCCUGCCUCUGCCAUCCCGGUGACAGCAGCACAUUUGCAUCAGGAGCCUCUGGCAGGAUGCUCCUCCAAGGUGGGAAAGCAGCCCUGAGGUGACAGCUCUGCAGCAUUUUGGGGGACUCAGGGUAAGUGAUGGGAUAACUCUGCAGAACUCACAGAAAACUCACAGAGAUUCUGUCCUUCACUUCAAAACAUCUGUUAAUUCUACUUGUGUGCUCAUCAUCGAAAGGCUGCCUAUAUUUUUCCUUUCAGGUUUGCGAAAAUAAGAGCCGGUGAAUGAAGAUGAAAGAGAAAUGUUGCUGGUUUCUUCCCUGGAGAUCGUAUUUCUUACUUGUUGCAUAACUGCUUAUUUUAGCAUCAAUCAACCAAGCCUUUGUUGUGCAGACAAUUCUGUCCUUUUAAAGGAUUUGUGCAGUAUUGUUUCUUCCAAAAUGCUUUUUUUUGUUGUUUUUAUUAUUAGAUUUAUUUCCUCUCUUAGCAAAUGCCAACUGACAACACCCUGCAACACCCUGUCAGAGCUCUUCAUAAGUGUUACAUAAAUGUCAUACUAUGUAAACUGAGUGUUGUAUGUAACAUACACAUGACCUUUCUGGAGAACCAUCCAUCAGGUGCCGCGUGUGCCACGUUUAUGCAUCUGUACACAAACUGUGUUUAAGUGUGCAUAUAUGGUAGCCAAAAAUCUCUUAAUGAGAGUACUCAAAAAGCACAAAUGUCUGAACUUUGUCAGUGCAACUUCAUGUACACCCUUUUGCUGAAGCAGAACAAGACUUCAGUUGCAUGUGCAGAUACUCUUUUCCCUCUGCAUGGCUGUGUGCAGUGAGAUGGUCAGCAAGGGGCUCAGCAAUGCCGAUUGUUCAGCACAUGAGCCCAGGCACAGCACGUUAUCCAGAGCAUUAUUCACAUGUCUGACCACUUUUGGAUUUCACAGCAAUAGAAAAUACAGCUCCAAUACUUCUCCGUGCAGUUUUCAAAGCAGAGCAAGGUGCUCAAGUUCUGGAUUGUAAAAAUCUACUGAGGGUGCAACCAGGCAUGCUGUGGACCUGUCAUGUCCUGCUGUGACCUUCUUUAGAGGUGUACUCCAGAAAUCCUGGAGAAAUGGUCCAGAGGGUGGUAAGGCUGUGGCAUGCAGCACAGGACCAGAGCAGGGACCUGCAGGUUCCUCAAAAGACAGAAUUAUUAAUUUCCUCAUGGCUCUUUCUACAGCACUUUCCACUAGACUGCCUCAGUGCUUCAGCACCUUCAUUAAUCCUCCGAAAACACUCAUUCUGAAGAUGGGUCAGAGUGACACAUGGAUGGAUUAAGGUCAGUUUUGACUAAUUCAGGGUACUCCAUCUGAAAAGCAUAACGUCUGCGUUUUCAGAGCAUUUAACAUGAUACAGCACUUCAUACAUGCAAGCACAGCACCCACUGCUUCCAGCUGCACAAAGAUGGAUGUCAGCAAUUCAGGCUAAAGGCUUCCAGCCACGCAUCACAGUGAGGGCAACAGAGCCAUCAGCAGCCAAAAGUUUGGGUUAAUGACUUGGAGUGUUACACAGCCUGUGGCAAGGGCACGUAAAGAAUCUCCUUCUUUGGGAGAGUUUUAUUCUUUUGUCACAGUCUGCCUGUGUCCUGCAGCCCUCGCAUCACUCCUUGGGCAGUCUUUGGUGAUGCAGGUAAGAUGAGAACACGGCCAAAAUUUGUUUCCUUUUUGACUUACAGAGCAGAACCGUGCUGCACAGGUGUCACAGAGAAAUCAGAUUGUGACAGUGUAACUAAGAACUGCAUUAGAGAAUGUGUGCACAAGUAAAUCUCCAGAAAUUGGUAUGGAAUGCCUCACUUUGGACACCUCUCAUGUCCAGACCAGUUAACACAGUGACCUUCACAACAUCUCUUAAGGCAGACUGUGCUGUAGAUGGGGUGGGACCUGCAGGUGAAGUCCUGUCAGGGUCUGUUCUCAUGAAUCCCACUGCUCUUGUAAUCCAAGGAAAUGCUUUUUAGUCAGUAGCUGGUGUCUCCUGCUCCCUGGGGGGCUGCUGAGAGGGCUCCGAGCACCUGAAGCAGCAGGUGCCCCAAGAGCAGCAUUUUGAGAGAUUUCAGCUGCCAGAACUGGGCAUGUUUAUUGCUGUGUGGUGAACUGCUCUUCAAAGCCCAGUAACACGACUAAUUUGGGUGGAUUUAUCUACAAAACCAUAAAAGGCUGCUUCAUGCCAAAUUUCAAGACCUUAUUUCCAGUGUUAGUCCUAAGAACCACAGCAAGCUCAAGAAUGACCAAAGUGAUGCUCUUCCCCUACUCUGCUUUUAUCCUUGGAAGUGCCAAAGGACUUGGAACCUUUGGAAAACAUCCAACACAGACUGCCAAGGCAGAAAGUUACAGCCUAAUUCAUUCAAGUUUGGUAAUUUAUAACAAGCCACAACAGGGAUGUAAGUUGGGGAGCAUCUGGCUAUUGUAGCUCUGGUUCCUAAUGGUUUAUAAUUGGUAAAUCACAAUUUUAGGGCUGACCAGCUUAAUGAAUCAAAAGAGAUGAUGGCAGAUUGUCACUGAAAGAGGGUCUUUAACUUGAAUUUUAAUCUUCUGCAGCAUUGGUUUAAAACAGUUCAAGCCAACUUCUGUAGGGCCCCUGGGAGUCGGGGCAGAUAUAUGCUCUACAUCCAAUUAUUAUUACUAUUAUUUUAAUUUAAG